rnacentral:rRNA from 1 species
CCUACGGGUGGCAGCAGUGAGGAAUAUUGGUCAAUGGACGAGAGUCUGAAGCAGCCAAGUAGCGUGAAUGAUGACUGCCCUAUGGGUUGUAAACUUCUUUUAUAUGGGGAUAAAAUGUUCCACGUGUGGGAUUUUGUAUGUACCAUAUGAAUAAGGAUCGGCUAACUCCGUGCCAGCAGCCGCGGUAAUAUGGAGGAUCCGAGCGUUAUCCGGAUUUAUUUGGUUUAAAGGGAGCGUAGGUGGAUUGUUAAGUCAGUUGUGAAAGUUUGCGGCUCAACCGUAAAAUUGCAGUUGAAACUGGCAGUCUAGAGUACAGUAGAGGUGGGCAGAAUUCGUGGUGUAGCGGUGAAAUGCGUAGAUAUCACGAAGAACUCCGAUUGCGAAGGCAGCUCACUGGACUGCAACUGACACUGAGGCUCGAAAGUGUGGGUAUCAAACAGGAUUAGAUACCCCAGUAGUC